AUUGGGCUUUCACGAGCUCUGGUAGGCUGAGAUGCGCCGGGCCUUGCACACCUCGUGUGCCACAAACCGCUGAGCCUCUCCAGCUUCCAGAGACUGGGCUGAAGGGAAUACCAACCGCAAAGGUUGUUAGAAGGGUUCAGGACUGAUCGUGACAAAACCUGGUAAAGCAGCUUGCGCUGCGUCCAGCGCUGAUGCAGGCUUUCACUGGACGUCGUUUA
rnacentral:lncRNA from 1 species